UACGGGGGGAGCAAGCGUUGUUCGGAUUUACUGGGCGUAAAGGGCGCGUAGGCGGCCAGCACAAGUCAGUUGUGAAAUCUCCGAGCUUAACUCGGAACGGUCAACUGAUACUGUGCGGCUAGAGUGCGGAAGGGGCAACUGGAAUUCUUGGUGUAGCGGUGAAACGCGUAGAUAUCAAGAGGAACACCUGCGGCGAAGGCGGGUUGCUGGGCCGACACUGACGCUGAGGCGCGAAAGCGUGGGGAGCAAACAGG
rnacentral:rRNA from 1 species